CCUGUCAUUAAAUACAAAAAAAGUUGUCAGCAUUAAUUAUGCAACAGAGAAUAUCUUUUAAGGCAUGAAUAAUUGAAAAGUACUAUCAGGGGUGUAUUCACUAAACUGUGAGUUCAUAGCUUGAUUGCAGGCUCCAAUUUUCAGAGUGCCGCAACUCAAUGUUUAAUUGACAAGUUCCUUAAGCAGAAUAUAUAUAUAUAUGUCAAUUCUGUCCAAGAACUCUGACUGAACAGGAGACUAUCCUUCUAUGGACAACAUGCUGGACACAUCCCAAUUGUACUGGCUUUAUCCACUAAACCAGUAGUUCCCAACCCAGUCCUCAAGUACCCCCUAACAGUCCAGUACUUAGGGAUUCCCUAGUUGUGUCUAAGGUGUUUUUAGAAAAAAACACACACACAAAAAAAAAAAACACACUUGAGACACAACAGGGUAAUCCCUAAAUCCUAGACUGGUAGGGGGUACUUGAGGACUGGGUUGGGAACCACUGCACUAAACAAUAACAUUGUUCUUAAUUAAAGUUAGAAUUCAAAGUUAAUUUAAAGUAAAUUUCAAAGUUAAGGCCAAAGUAGCUGAACUUUAAACACAGCUGAAUCCGAGAAUUGUUAUGUUUUUGGCCAUUUUGACCUUACAUUUGAAAUUCCCUUUUGGAGUUCACUUUAAAUUCUCACGUUAGUAAAUAACCCUGUUCGUUAUGUUAAGCUGACAAACAGAGAUUUGCAACGUGCUUUUUU